rnacentral:rRNA from 1 species
UCGGUAUGUACUGGCUUUACUGAUUCCUCCUUCUUGACGAACCGUGAUGUCAUUAAUUUGGUGUUGCGGGAAAUCAGGACUGUUACUUUGAAAAAAUUAGAGUGUUUAAAGCAGGCUAACGCUUGAAUACAUUAGCAUGGAAUAAUGAAAUAGGACGUUAAUCCUAUUUUGUUGGUUUCUAGGAUCGACGUAAUGAUUAAUAGGGAUAGUUGGGGGCAUUAGUAUUCAAUUGUCAGAGGUGAAAUUCUUGGAUUUAUUGAAGACUAACUACUGCGAAAGCAUUUGCCAAGGAUGUUUUCAUUAAUCAAGAACGAAAGUUAGGGGAUCGAAGACGAUCAGAUACCGUCGUAGUCUUAACCAUAAACUAUGCCGACUAGGGAUCGGAUGAUGUUAAUUCUUUAAUGACUCAUUCGGC